rnacentral:rRNA from 1 species
CUUAGCGUUGCUAAGGCCGAUGGCGACCGGCGCACGGGUGAGUAACACGUAUCCAACCUGCCGUCUACUCUUGGACAGCCUUCUGAAAGGAAGAUUAAUACAAGAUGGCAUCAUGAGUCCGCAUGUUCACAUGAUUAAAGGUAUUCCGGUAGACGAUGGGGAUGCGUUCCAUUAGAUAGUAGGCGGGGUAACGGCCCACCUAGUCUUCGAUGGAUAGGGGUUCUGAGAGGAAGGUCCCCCACAUUGGAACUGAGACACGGUCCAAACUCCUACGGGAGGCAGCAGUGAGGAAUAUUGGUCAAUGGGCGAGAGCCUGAACCAGCCAAGUAGCGUGAAGGAUGACUGCCCUAUGGGUUGUAAACUUCUUUUAUAAAGGAAUAAAGUCGGGUAUGGAUACCCGUUUGCAUGUACUUUAUGAAUAAGGAUGGCUAACUCCGUGCCAGCAGCCGCGGUAAUACGGAGGAUCCGAGCGUUAUCCGGAUUUAUUGCGUUUAAAGGGAGCGUAGAUGGAUGUUUAAGUCAGUUGUGAAAGUUUGCGGCUCACCCGUAAAAAUUGCAGUUGAUACUGGAUAUCUUGAGUGCAGUGAGCAAGGCCGGAAUUCGUGGUGUAGCGGUGAAAUGCUUAGAUAUCACGAAGAACUCCGAUUGCGAAGGCAGCCUGCUAAGCUGCCACUGACAUUGAGGCUCGAAAGUGUGGGUAUCAAACAGGAUUAGAUACCCUGGUAGUCCACACGGUAAACGAUGAAUACUCGCUGUUUGCGAUAUACUGCAAGCGGCCAAGCGAAAGCGUUAAGUAUUCCACCUGGGGAGUACGCCGGCAACGGUGAAACUCAAAGGAAUUGACGGGGGCCCGCACAAGCGGAGGAACAUGUGGUUUAAUUCGAUGAUACGCGAGGAACCUUACCCGGGCUUAAAUUGCAGAUGAAUUACGGUGAAAGCCGUAAGCCGCAAGGCAUCUGUGAAGGUGCUGCAUGGUUGUCGUCAGCUCGUGCCGUGAGGUGUCGGCUUAAGUGCCAUAACGAGCGCAACCCUUGUUGUCAGUUACUAACAGGUUCCGCUGAGGACUCUGACAAGACUGCCAUCGUAAGAUGUGAGGAAGGUGGGGAUGACGUCAAAUCAGCACGGCCCUUACGUCCGGGGCUACACACGUGUUACAAUGGGGGGUACAGAGGGCCGCUACCACGCGAGUGGAUGCCAAUCCCAAAAACCUCUCUCAGUUCGGACUGGAGUCUGCAACCCGACUCCACGAAGCUGGAUUCGCUAGUAAUCGCGCAUCAGCCACGGCGCGGUGAAUACGUUCCCGGGCCUUGUACACACCGCC